GACGAACGCUGGCGGCGUGCUUAACACAUGCAAGUCGAACGGAAAGGCCCUGCUUUUGUGGGGUGCUCGAGUGGCGAACGGGUGAGUAACACGUGAGUAACCUGCCCUUGACUUUGGGAUAACUUCAGGAAACUGGGGCUAAUACCGGAUAGGAGCUCCUGCUGCAUGGUGGGGGUUGGAAAGUUUCGGCGGUUGGGGAUGGACUCGCGGCUUAUCAGCUUGUUGGUGGGGUAGUGGCUUACCAAGGCUUUGACGGGUAGCCGGCCUGAGAGGGUGACCGGCCACAUUGGGACUGAGAUACGGCCCAGACUCCUGCGGGAGGCAGCAGUGGGGAAUAUUGCACAAUGGGCGGAAGCCUGAUGCAGCAACGCCGCGUGCGGGAUGACGGCCUUCGGGUUGUAAACCGCUUUCGCCUGUGACGAAGCGUGAGUGACGGUAAUGGGUAAAGAAGCACCGGCUAACUACGU
rnacentral:rRNA from 1 species